AAAAGGUAAACAAACCUGUAUGUUUAUAUGUAUAAUUUGAAAUAAAAAAAUAACAUUAAAAUACUUUCAUUUGAAUAACGCUUGACUUAAGGUAAAAUGGUUUCAAUGUAAUCAUACAGUAAUAUAACACAAAGCAGGAAAUAUAUAUCUUAUAUAGAGCACAUAGAGCCCAGUUAAUGUAGCACAUGAACAAGUCAAAUAAUGUUGCAUCAUUAGAAUUAAAUGAUGCACUAUUCAAGAAUAAAAUAAAUAAGUUAGAAGGGUGGCUAUUUCAACGUUUAAACAAAUGGGAUAAUGUCAAAGUGUCGGAGAUCAUAAGUGUGUGUAGUGUAUAAAUGUGACAGUGUUAUGAGGUCAUAAGGUGGCGUGCGUAGUGUACAAAAUGUGUCAGA